GCCAGAGCCAUAUCACCCUGCAGUUCUCACCUGGUUUCCCAUUGAAGUUAAGCAGCAUUGAGCAUGUCCAGUACCUGGAUGGGAGACUUCCUGGGAAAAUUAAGGUUGCUGCUGGAA
rnacentral:rRNA from 1 species